UAGGGAAUCUUCGGCAAUGGACGAAAGUCUGACCGAGCAACGCCGCGUGAGUGAAGAAGGUUUUCGGAUCGUAAAACUCUGUUGUUAGAGAAGAACAAGGACGUUAGUAACUGAACGUCCCCUGACGGUAUCUAACCAGAAAGCCACGGCUAACUACGUGCCAGCAGCCGCGGUAAUACGUAGGUGGCAAGCGUUGUCCGGAUUUAUUGGGCGUAAAGCGAGCGCAGGCGGUUUCUUAAGUCUGAUGUGAAAGCCCCCGGCUCAACCGGGGAGGGUCAUUGGAAACUGGGAGACUGGAGGGCAGAAGAGGAGAGUGGAAUUCCAUGUGUAGCGGUGAAAUGCGUAGAUAUAUGGAGGAACACCAGUGGCGAAGGCGGCUCUCUGGUCUGUAACUGACGCUGAGGCUCGAAAGCGUGGGGAGCAAACAGG
rnacentral:rRNA from 1 species